rnacentral:rRNA from 1 species
UGAACGCUGGCGGCGUGCCUAAUACAUGCAAGUCGAGCGAACAGACGAGGAGCUUGCUCCUCUGACGUUAGCGGCGGACGGGUGAGUAACACGUGGAUAACCUACCUAUAAGACUGGGAUAACUUCGGGAAACCGGAGCUAAUACCGGAUAAUAUAUUGAACCGCAUGGUUCAAUAGUGAAAGACGGUUUUGCUGUCACUUAUAGAUGGAUCCGCGCCGCAUUAGCUAGUUGGUAAGGUAACGGCUUACCAAGGCAACGAUGCGUAGCCGACCUGAGAGGAUGAUCGGCCACACUGGAACUGAGACACGGUCCAGACUCCUACGGGAGGCAGCAGUAGGGAAUCUUCCGCAAUGGGCGAAAGCCUGACGGAGCAACGCCGCGUGAGUGAUGAAGGUCUUCGGAUCGUAAAACUCUGUUAUUAGGGAAGAACAAAUGUGUAAGUAACUAUGCACGUCUUGACGGUACCUAAUCAGAAAGCCACGGCUAACUACGUG